rnacentral:lncRNA from 1 species
AGUUGUGCCCACGCACCCAACUGUUCCAGUAACAUAAAAGCAACAGCAGUUGGAGAUACUUAAGGCAGCCAUGGUAUUGACAGAAAAAGACUCUGGAUUUGGAUUGCAGCUGUAGCAUUUAUUAAAUGCACGUCACAACCUCUCUGAGCUUCGUUUUCCCCACGUUUCAAAUGGGAUGCAGUGGACCCUGUUGCCUACCCGAGAACAACUUCAAAGCAACUUUGAGAGCCUUGUAUGGAAGAUGGCAACUUUGAGAGCCUUGUGUUGAAGAUGGCAAAGCCACAAGAUGGAAAGUGCUUGGGUUCUUGGAUCAUUGUAUGGAGGGGUUCUGCCCAACUAGGAUCACCCAGGCUGGAUUGUCAUAGUGAAGAUAAGAAUACCUAUUUUAAAGUUCUGUUGUGAGGUUCAAGUGCCACAUAUGGGGCCACCAGAAGCUGUUGGCGCCCCUCCCACAUCCCUGUGGUCCACUCAGGAGGUUAACUGCAGUCAGCUGUCAUUCUGCUGGUGGCUUCCUGCGUCUUUCUGCCUGAGCUUGUUCUUUGGCCCUGGAGGAACCCUCCACCAAUGAGAGAUGGGAAUUGUUGGAUAAAAGUCCCAGCUUCCACUCCAAGGCAUGUUCAUGAUCCAUGCAGCCUCUGAGAGGCCUCCCAUGGGCCUGAGCCCCAGUUGCCCACACUGGUAAUACACACAUCUGCUCACUCUCCACUGGCUUUCCUCUCUCCCUUUCUCACUGCUUCACCUUCCCAAUGUGCCUCCUGGACCACGUCCCAAAUAAAUGAUUGCACUCAAAUCCUCGUCUUGGGGUCUGCUAAGGGGAAAUCCAAGUCCAGACAUUGGUAUGACUCAAGUGCUUAAUAAAUAGACCAUGUCACUAUUGUAGUUUCUAGAUACCCAAAAUUCAAAUGUGGGUCUCUCUGCUUAUAUUUUGUAUUUUCUAUGUAAAAAAUUCCCUAAAGCCCUCCAGGAAGGACUCCUCUCCCUGUGGCUCCAUGCCAGUCCUAUGCUCUGCAGCCAUAGGGAGGAUUGCUGUGCCAAUGCUCACAAACCUUGGGGCUGCCAUCCCCAAGACUCCUUGGACUCCAUACAAAGAUUGACCUUAGGAGGAGUGAGUCACAACAACUCCAUGCAACAGGGUCUUUGCAAAUGAAAGUUAAGAUGAAGUCAUUAGUGUGGUCCCCAAUUCAACAUGACUGGUGUCCUUAUUAAAAGUGGAGAUUUGGACACAGAAAGACACAAACAAGGAGAACACCAUGUGAAGAUUGGGAUCAUGUGACCAAAAGCCAAGGAACUACCAGAAGGUAAGAGAGAAGACCAGGAACAAAUCCUUUCCUAGUGCCUUCAGAGGGAGUGUGACCUAGUUGACACCUUGAUUUUGGACUUCUAGCCUCUGAAAUUGUGAGACAAUAAAUGCCUGUUGUUUAAGCCACCCAGCUUGUGGCACUUUGUUACAUCAGCCCUACCAGACUAAUAAAGGGGAAUUGUCUUUAUGUACUGCCUAUGUGUGGCUGCAGGAACCAUG